AAAACAAGCUCAAUGAGAGCCAUCGGGGGUAGAUCUAUCUCAUGACGAGUGGUGGAAUACUUUGACUCAUGAGAGAGAAGCUGAGGCGAAGGCGUCUACUUAGAGGGUUUCUGUCGAUCAAGGGCGAGAGUAGGAGUAUCCAACAGGAUUAGAGACCCUGGUAGUUCCUACCUUAAACGAUGCCGACAGGAGUUUGUCAUUUGUUAAUGGCAGAAUCUUUGGAGAAAUCAUAGUUCUUGGGCUCUGGGGGAACUACGACCGCAAGGCUGAAACUUGAAGGAAUUGACGGAAGGGCACACCAGGGGUGGAGCCUGUGGCUUAAUUUGAAUCAACACGGGGAAACUUACCAGGACCAGAUGUUUUUUAUGACUGACAGGCUUCGGGUCUUUCAGGAUAUUGUUUUUGGUGGUGCAUGGCCGUUGGUGGUGCGUGGGUUGACCUGUCUAGCGUUGAUUCAGCUAACGAGCGAGAUUAUCGCCAAUUAUUUACUUUGCCGAAGUCCUUCGGUUAAAGUUCUAAUUGGGACUCCCUGCGAUUUUAGCAGGUGGAAGAGGGUAGCAAUAACAGGUCCGUGAUGCCCUUUAGAUGCUCUGGGCUGCACGCGUGCUACAAUGUUAGGAUCAAUAGGACUGCGAGCCUGAGAGGGUGCGCUACUCUUAUAAUCCCUAACGUAGUUGGGAUUGACGUUUGUAAUCAGCGUCAUGAACCAGGAAUCCCUUGUAAAUGUGUGUCAACAACGCACGUUGAAUACGUCCUUGCCCUUUGUACACACCGCCCGUCGCUC
rnacentral:ncRNA from 2 species